UGGGGAAUAUUGGGCAAUGGGCGAAAGCCUGACCCAGCAACGCCGCGUGAAGGAAGAAGGUCUUCGGAUUGUAAACUUCUUUUAUGAGGGACGAAGGACGUGACGGUACCUCAUGAAUAAGCCACGGCUAACUACGUGCCAGCAGCCGCGGUAAUACGUAGGUGGCAAGCGUUAUCCGGAUUUACUGGGUGUAAAGGGCGCGUAGGCGGGGAUGCAAGUCAGAUGUGAAAUCUAUGGGCUUAACCCCGGGGCUGCAUUUGAAACUGCAGAUCUUGAGUGUCGGAGAGGAAAGCGGAAUUCCUAGUGUAGCGGUGAAAUGCGUAGAUAUUAGGAGGAACACCAGUGGCGAAGGCGGCUUUCUGGACGAUAACUGACGCUGAGGCGCGAAAGUGUGGGGAGCAAACAGGAUUAGAUACCCUGGUAGU
rnacentral:rRNA from 1 species